UUUUUGUCUUCUGAAGUUAAUUAGUAAUACGUCAGGAGAUAAAAGGUUAUUAGUAUUUUUUUGUGAAUGCAGUUAGAAAGAAGAGAUGAGGAGAUGAUAUAUGGCCAUGGCCCGAAGAAGAAAUGAGAAGGAUGAAAGAUUUGGAAGAAAUGACAGAGGAUGAAAGAUUUGGAAGCUGUGGGUGAUUGGUGGUCUAGGAGGUAUUGAUUGGAUCUCUUGGUUUUGAAGACUUCCAUUGAUGCUGUUUGGGUUAAUUAAAAGGACAAGGAUAAAGGAUCUUGCAGCGGUUGGAUUUUUGUUGGACCUCCAUCUUGCUUGUGCAGUGGUUCUUGGCUGGCCAAUCUAUGAUGGGGAAAAUUUUUAAGUCUUCAUUUUCUUCUCAUGUUCUUUUUCAUUCUUUGCAGGAACUUCACUAUCAACCUUUUUCUGUUUAUCAAUUUCUCUUGUUUGUUGACUUGACACAUGGUUUGCAGGUUGAUGUCGACAGCAGCAAUCUUGGAAAUUCUGCCAUCAGCACGUAAGACAAAAGUCUACACUCUGAUUUCAAGAAGAUUUUGCUACCUGGUUUUUCAUACCUCUCAAAACUACUUGAUUUUGGAGAAUCUUGUGCAGUGACGUUGCUGGCUUUCCUUUUCUAAAGUACUGAUACAUAACCUUCCUCAUGGCUGGGAUCACCCAACUCUAUCUUUUUAUUGAGUUCAAGGUUUUGACGAAAGUUUUGUGAUGUUGCUGGCUUUACUUUUCUACGGUGCUGAUUCUUGGACUUCUUCAUGGCUGCGGCUGCCGCUAUUACUUGGCUUAUGUGUUGGUACUGAGCUUGAUAUGACCUUUUUGACCCUUUUAUUAUUUAGAUGCAUGUUUGGGGUUAUCAAUUUCUAGAAUUAUUAUGAAGACAGACAUGGAUGAAGGUUUCUCAAUGUUCUACUUUUUCUUUUCCUGCUUUUUUUUUUCUUUUGCACACUGUUGCUCUUGUUUGGUUUUUGCCCUUAAUAUGUUCUUGAUUCUUGGGUCAGGCUGCUAUUAGGAACUAUUAGGAAUUUAGCAUUCCAUAGAUUGUCAUCUCAUAUCUUUGUGGAUGGAGCUUUCGAGCGACGGAUUGGUGAGCUGAUGAAAAGCAAUAAUAAAACACCACUUAAAUGUUUGUCUCACAUUGACCUGUUGUUUGCUUAAGACUUGAGAUAAAGUAUGGUUUGUAUGGUUGUUUUCAGGUUUUGAAAGAUUCUAGUAUUCACUUGCUAGUGUGGAAAGAUUGGACGUCACUUGCUAGCUGGGGUUGUAAUAUUACAUGCAGAUAUUUUUCUCUUGUUUGUGGCUGGAAUUCUAUAUGUAUUUUGUGAUUGUAGGUAGCCACAAAUAUUUUCUGGUUUUUGAAGAUCUGUUGACUAACGCAUAUGGAAAUUUUAUUUCAUUGUCUUGGAUUGCAAACUUUAGGGCCUCUUGGGAUUUUUUGCUUUCAAUAUCCUUUUAUGGUUUUGUUUGAUCAGGGUCUCUUGGAUAUUCAAUUUUGGACUGCCUCAACUCCAAGGAGACUUGCUUUCCUGGUUCUUAUUGUAUCACUCAAAAUUCUUUUGUUUUGGAGCUUUUAGGAUCCUGUGUAGUUAAUGUCACUGAGCAUGAUAUGAUUCUUUUUCUCUUCAUUAUUUUAGAUGCUGAUGUGUUAUCAGUUUCCUAAAUUAAGAGCAGGAAGGGCAAGGAUGAAGGAUCUUGCUGCCAGUUGGAAUGGGGGUUAUUUUUUCUUAAUUGUUUUGCACUUCUUUUAUUCUUUGUUUUGGAACAUCUUAUUUUUCUAGUUUUUCGUGCAGUAUAUUGCUUUUUGAUUGCUUUCUGUGCUUACGCGUCUUUGAUUCUUUGGUUUCCAGAUGCUGCUGUUUGAAAUUAUUAGCAAUAUGCAGGGACAAUGAUCUUACAUAGCUGUGUUAUAUCUUUGUGGAUGGAGCUCGGGAAGGAGGGAUUCGGUUUGGAAAGUUUCCGGUGAUCGCUUGGUAGUUUGAAAGAUUGUGAAUAUCCUUGCUACUUGGGACAGUGAUUUUAUGCCGACAUUUAUCUUGCGUUUAUUAUUGGUAGGUAUAUGUGUGUAUUUGUGAUUGUAGGUUGCAGAAGAUGCUUUUCUGGUUUUUCAAGUUCUGCCACUGGUUUAUAUGUCAUUUGUGCUUUCAUUUCUUGGAUUUUUUGAGGUCUUCUUUUAUCUGGUUUAUAUAAAUGUCUGAAACAUGUUAGCUUGAGAGGAUUUCAAAUUGAAAGCAUUUCAUUUAACUGAACAAGAUGCCGUAGAAUUAGCAGGCAUUUAUGCAAUAUUUUGGAUGUUGACUUUAUAUGCUAAUUUUUUUUGGUUGUGAGUUUGAGUUCUUAUUGUGGGAUUUAUAUUCUGUUGGGAUCUGUUUGUGUUAGUAGGUUGGACAGGUCCAUUAGAGUUUACAAGUUCUGUCAGUUGAGAUUUUGCUUUUCUUGUUUUUCCUAGUGUCUGAUUCGGAUUUUUGCAUCGUUUGGAAGUUGAUAUUUAUUUAAAGUCUAGGCAGCAGAAGUGAAGCAUGUUGUUAGAAAUUGUAUGUAUAUAGUUUUUUUUUUUUUUAGUUUAGAGCAUGUUCCUGAUAAUUUGUUGGCACAAGGUAAAUGUGUGGAAGUUGUGGCCCAUUAAGGACUUCAAAUUGGUUGAGCUUUUAUCAUUGAGAUCUUUGCAUGGUACGGUUUGUGUGAUUGUUGUACAGGUUUUGAAAGGUUCUUGUGGUCAUUUGCUAUGUCAAAAAGAUUGAGGACUUAUUUUGCCAGCUGGGGUCAUAAUCUUAUGUGCAGAAAUUUUUCUCUUGUUUGUGUUCAUAGAUUGUAGGUAGCCACAGAAAUUUUCUGGUUGUUGAGGUUCUGUUGACUAAUGCUAAUGGAAAUUGUGUUUCAUUGUCUUGGAUUAUGAACUUUAGGGCUUCUUGGAUUUUUUGCUUGUAAUAUCCUUUUGUGGUUUUGUUUGUUCAGGUUCUCUUGGAUAUUCAAUUCUGGAUUGGCUCAACUCCAAGGAGACUUGCUUUCCUGGUUCUUAUUGUAUCACUUAAAAUUCUUUGGUUUUGGAGUUUUUAGGAUCAUGUGUACCUGAGCAUGAUAUGAUUUUUUGUCAAUUCAUGAUAUGAUGUAUUAUCAGCUUCCAAAAUUAAAAGCGGGAAGGGCAAGGAUGAAGGAUCUUGCUGCCAGUUGGAAUGGGGUGCUGCUGUUAGAAAUUAUUAGCAAAACGAAGGGAGAAUGAGAUCUUAUGUAGCUUUGUUAUUUCUUUGGCGAUGGAGCUUGGGAAGAGGGAUUAGGUUUGGAAAGAUUCCAAUGAUCACUUGCUAGUUUCGAAAGAUUGUGAAUGUCGUUGACUCGUUGCUAAUUGGGUCAGUGAUUUUAUGCGGACAUUUAUCUUGCGUUUAUUAUAUGUAUGUAUCUGUGAUUGUAGGUUGCAGAAGAUACUUUUCUGGUUUUUCAAGUUCUGCCACUGGUUUAUACGUCAUUUCUGCUUUCAUUUCUUGCAUUUUUGAGGUCUUCCUUUAACUGGUUUAUAUAAAUGUCUGAAACGUGUUAGUUAGAGAGGUUUUCAAAUAGAAUGGAUUUCAUUUGACUGAAAAAGAUGACAUAGGAUUAGCAGGCAUUUAUGUGAUAUUUUGGAUGUUGACUUUAUAUGCUAAUUUUGUUUUUUGUUGUGAGUUUGAGUUCUUUUUGCGGGAUUUAUAUUCUGUUGGGAUCUGUUUGUGUUUGUAGGUUGGACAGAUUCAUUAGAGUUUACAAGUUCUGUCAGUUGAGAUUUUGCCUUUCUCGUGGUUCUUAGUGUCUGAUUCGGAUUUUUGCAUUGUUUGGAAGUUGAUAUUUAUUUAAAGUCUAGGCAGCAGAAAUGUAGCAUGUUGUUAGAAAUUGUAUUUAUAUAGUUUUUUUUAAUGUUGGAGCAUGUUUGUGCUAAUUUAGUUGGCACAUGGUAAAUGUGUGGAAGAUGUGGCCCAUUAAGGACUUCAAAUUGGUUGUGCUUUUGUUUGAUCUUCAUCUUAUUUUUUAAAAGCUUGUCCUUAAUAUCUGUUUGUGUGAUGUUGGCUUUCAUGUGCAGUGGUUUGUUGGCUGGCCAUCCUGAUGGAGAAAAUUGAUAAGUCUUCGUUUCUUGCUAUUGUAUUGUUUUGAGCUGUUGCAGGAUCUUUCGCUUUCAGUUUUCUAUUUUUUUUAAAAAAAUGUUGUUUGGCCUUUGUGUUAUUUGUUUAUAGGUCACCAUCUUUUUCAUUGUUUUAUGGUUUAUCUUGAUUCUUUGUUUUCAUAGGCUGUUGUUAACAACUUCAGUUGUGGAGAUUCUACCUUAAGCACAUAAGUUUACAUAUGUUUUUUUUUAAAAAAUUUUUCCAUCCUUGUUUCAGGCCUAUUAGUUUUUGAUGCUUUUAGUAUCUUUUAUGGUUUUGCUUGAUGAGGCUCUCUUGGAUUUUCAAUUUUGGAAUACCUUUUAAGCUCUCAAGGAGAUUUGCUUCCUGGUUCUUAUUGUAUUUCUUUAUAGUCUUUUGUUUUCAAGCUUUUAGGAUCUUGUGGAGUUAUGUUGCUGAGUGUGAUAUUAGUGUAUUGACCCUAUUUUUAUUAUAGAUUCUACCUUCUGCGCCUAACACUGAAUUUAUAAGAUGGUUACAUAUGUUCUUUUUAAAAUAUUUUUCCACCUUUGUUUCUGGGCCUCUUAGGUUUUAAUGCUGUCCGUAUCUUUUAUGGCUUUGUUUGAUCAGGUCUCUUGGAUUUCCAGUUUUGUGAUAAUUCUCAAGGAGAUUGCUUCCAGUGAUGUUUCUGGCUUUCCUUUUCUAAAGUGCUGAUCCUUGAUCUUCUUCAUGGCUGUGAUCGCCACUAUUACUAGGAAUGCCUCUCCUUCCAUGUUGUGAGUAGUGAUCGCCGCUAUAACGCUCUAAAAUACUUGGUUUUGGUGUACUGUGUGUUGGUAGUGAGCUUGAUAUGACUUUUUGACCCUUUUAUUGUUUAGCUGUGUGUUUGGGGUUAUCAAUUUCCAGAAUUAUUAUGAAGAAGGACAUGGAUGAAGGUUUUUCAUAGUUCUACGUUUUUCCUUUUUCCUUUUUUUUAAAAUUCCCAUGCACAGUGUUGUUCUUGGUUGUUUUUUGCCCUUAAUAUGUUCUUGAUUCUUGGGUCAGGUUGCUAUUUGGAACUAUUAGCAAUUUAGCUUUCUGCAGGAGAAUGAGAUUGUUACCUCUUAUCUUUGUGGAUGGAGGUUUAGAGGGAGGUGAGUUGAUGAAAAGCGAUAAUAGAAGACCACUUUAAAUAUUUGUCUCGUUGACCUAGUGUUUGCUUAAGACUUGAGAUAAAGUACGGUUUGUAUGAUUGUUGUCAGGUUUUGAAAGAUUCUAGUGGUCACUUGCUAGCGUCGAAAGAUUGUGGACAUAAUCUUAUAUGCAAACAUUUUUCUCUUGUUUGUGCUUGGAAUUCUAUAUGUAUUUUGUGAUUGUAGGUAGCCACAAAUAUUUUCUGGUUUUUGAAGUUCUGUUGACUAACGCAUGUGGAAAUUUUAUUUCAUUGUCUUGGAUUGCAAACUUUAGGGCCUCUUGGGAUUUUUUGCUUUCAAUAUCCUUUUAUGGUUUUGUUUGAUCAGGGUCUCUUGGAUAUUCAAUUUUGGACUGCCUCAACUCCAAGGAGACUUGCUUUCCUGGUUCUUAUUGUAUCACUCAAAAUUCUUUAGUUUUUGAGUUUUUAGGAUCCUGUGUAGUUAAUGUCACUGAGCAUGAUAUGAUUCGUUUUCUCUUCAUUAUUUUAGAUGCUGAUGUGUUAUCAGUUUCCAAAAUUAAGAGCAGGAAGGGCAAGGAUAAAGGAUCUUGCUGGCAGUUGGAAUGGGGGUUAUUUUUUCCAAGCUAGUUUUGUUGAGUUGUACUUUGGCUUGAUGGAGUUCUAAGGUGGAUCCCUAUUGGUAUUUAUACUCUUUGAACCUGUUACUAUUACUUUUAAGGCUUUCUAUGAUUUUGGAUUUUGGACUAAGUGAAUAUAAGUCGGUUGUUAAUGGGAAUGUUGGAUACUGUAUUUGUAGGUCAAUCUAUUGGAAAUGCAGUAGUAGUUUUUAUGAUUUUUUGACAAUUUUGGUAUUUGUCGGUAGGUUUUAUGAUUAUUUGACAAUUACGUUAUUUGUAGGUCAAUAUUUUGGGAAUUUGGAAGUAGGUUUUCUGGUUAUUUGACAAUUAAAUAGUAGUAAUAAUAUAUGAUAUCUGAUGUUUGAGGUGGUAGUUAAGAUGUUGAUUGAACAGAUUUGAAGUUGUUAGAUAAGGAAAUUUCUAUUUGUAACCUUCAAAGUUUGAAAAAUGUUACUCUGCUAUAGUUUGUCAAGUUUUGGCUGGUUUGCAGAGCUGCAAAAUUAACAAUUUUGGAUCUUAUUAUCUUGUGCUGAUUGAUUUUGAAAAACAUGUUGUUUGAUGGAGUUGCGUGCAAUUGUGGUGCUUAUAACUUCUUCUAAGCUCUCUGUUCGUAAGUAUUCUGGUGACACCCAUCUCUUCUCUUUUUGUGUGUGAUGCAGAAGUCGUGUAGUUUACACAAUUUGGUUAGAUUCUGAGGCCAUUUACUGAGUUUCCUUUUAAUUUUUGUGCUUGGAUGUUGUUAAGCAGGGCACCGUGCAAGGUAGGAAUCCGGAAUGUGGUUAGAAUAUUGUUAGAUUAUGGUUCAUUUUAACGGGUUUUCAUUCAAGGUGUGAAGCAGUUCGAAGAAUCUUUGUACACAACACGGGACUUGAUUAUCGAUUCAUGUAAAUGGGCUAUCACAAGCCUGAGACUGAAAUUAAUUUUGGGCUUCCUUCCAUUUCUCUUGGGCUUGGGUCGCGGUUGGAAACCGACGGAUAGGUUGACCAAGUCAACUACGCGUCAAUAGCUAUUUUUCACGUGUUUUUGUAACGGCUCUUUUAUAGCCGACUUAGGAGAGCUAAUUCCAUCUGUGUCUAAUGAGUGAAAGAUCUUGACCGUUUAUACAUCUCUCCACCGCUUAAUCCUAACCGUCUAUUUUGAGCCCCCUUACUAUAUAAGAACAUCUCCUCAGCUCUCAGUCGCAUCUCUGACGGAGUCGGUGAGAAACCGGCCUUGACGUUUAAGAUUUGCGGGCAGCGUUUGUUUCUCUCCUUUUCUACCGGUUUAUUCAUUUAGGUUUCGGUUCGGAGCUAUAGUUGAAUUGGUUUUUUAGAUCUUCUUAUUAAAUCUAUCGUGAUUGAAAUCAGUUGAAUCUCGGAUUUUGUGUUUCGUGGGUAAAUUGUUCUUGAAUGGACGGUGAUCCUGUGAUUCUGUUGGUGUCGAUCCGUUGUGAUGAUGAUCGUACAUUUAACUCUGUUUCCCAUUUUUCUGAUAAGAUUUAACGAAAUGGUGAUACAAAUCGGUUGAAUUUCGGAUUUUGUGUUUCGUAGGUAGAUUGGUCUUGGAAUGGAUGGUGAUCUUGUGAUUCUGUGGACGUUGAUCCGUUGUGAUGAGGGUAGUACAUCUAACUCUAUUAAAUCGAUCUGUUUUGACAUUUAUUCUUCUCGGGUUUUGGUACCGAUCAAUUUUGAACGUAAUGACUCCCUUUUUAGUUAAUUAUGUUGUGCGGAUGGACCGAUGGUUCUUUUGGGUUCCCUUCCUCUGUUACGAAUUCCAUAUUUCUUGUUUGUUUUGGAGCUUUGGAAGAUAUUUCAAUAUACGCUUUCUGCCUGCAGUGUUGUUGCCGGCUUUCCUAAUCCUUGAACUUCCUCACGGCCGUAAUCGCCACUGUUUACACGUUGUGAAUAAUUUUUGUUUUUUGAGGUUAAUUAGUAGUACGUCAGGAGAUAAAAGAUUAUUAGUAUUUUUAUUUUUUUGGUGAAUGCAGUUAGAAGAAGAGAUGAGGAGAUGGUAUAUGGCCAUGGCCUGAAGAAGAAAUGACAAGGAUGAAAGAUUCGGAAGAAAUUAGAAAGGAUGAAAGAUUUGGAAGCUGUGGGUGGUAAGAGGUCUUGUAAGGGCUUAUCCUUGCACUUUUAUAUCUCCACCUAUCUUUAUUUUUCACUGAGAUUGUCUCAAUUUAAAAUUUGGUGUUGGUGAAUUUGGAUUGUUCGUCUAGGAGGUAUUGGUUGGAUCUCUUGGUUUUGAAGACUUCCAUCGGUUUGGAUCUCUGUCUCAACCUUUAAGGAGAUUUGCUUCCUGUUCUUAUAUCUCAAAAAUACUUGAUUUUGGAGGAUCUUGUAUUGGUAUUGAGCGUGAUAUGACCUUUGACCCUCUUUUUUUUUAUUAUUCAGAUGCUGUUUGGGGUUAAUUAAAAGGACAGGGAUAAAGGAUCUUGCAGCAGUUAAAUUUUUGUUGGACCUCCAUCUUGCUUGAUAAUGGGUUUUAUGUGCAGUGGUUCUUGGCUGGCCAUUCUAUAGUGGGCAAAAUUUUUAAGUCUUCAUUUUCUUCUCUUGUUUUUUUUUACAAUCUUUGCAGGAUCUUCACUACCAACCUUUCUCUGUUUAUCAAUUUCUCUUCUUUUUUGGCUUGACACAUGGUUUUUGUAGGUUGUUGUUGACAACAGAAAUCUUAGAAUUCUACCAUCAGCGC